AUAUUUAACGAAAGUGGCGAACGGGUGAGUAACACGUGAGCAACCUGCCUUACACAGGGGGAUAGCCAUUGGAAACGGUGAUUAAUACCCCAUAAGACCACAAUACCGCAUGGUAAAAGGGUAAAAGGGAUACCGGUGUAAGAUGGGCUCGCGUCUGAUUAGCUAGUUGGUGGGGUAAAGGCCUACCAAGGCGACGAUCAGUAGCCGGUCUGAGAGGAUGAACGGCCACAUUGGAACUGAGACACGGUCCAAACUCCUACGGGAGGCAGCAGCC
rnacentral:rRNA from 1 species